CAGUCGCCACGGGAAUACAAAGGGGGCUAGCGUUGCUCGGAAUGACUGGGCGUAAAGGGCGCGUAGGCGGCGAUCAAAGUCAGGCGUGAAAUUCCUGGGCUCAACCUGGGGGCUGCGCUUGAUACUUGGUUGCUUGAGUGGGGAAGAGGGUCGUGGAAUUCCCAGUGUAGAGGUGAAAUUCGUAGAUAUUGGGAAGAACACCGGUGGCGAAGGCGGCGACCUGGUCCUUGACUGACGCUGAGGCGCGAAAGCGUGGGGAGCAAACAGGAUUAGAUACCCGCGUAGUCCCUGUCUCUUAUAC
rnacentral:rRNA from 1 species